AUUGAACGCUGGCGGCAGGCCUAACACAUGCAAGUCGAGCGAGCGGCGGACGGGUGAGUAAUGUAUGGGGACUGCCCGAUAUAGGGGGAUAACUACUGGAAACGGUAGCUAAUACCGCGUACUCUCUGAUAGCCCAUAUGGGAUUAGCUAGUUGGUGGGGUAAUGGCUCACCUAGGCGACGAUCCCUCGCUGGUCUGAGAGGAUGAUCAGCCACACGGGGACUGAGACACGGCCCAGACUCCUACGGAGGCAGCAGUGGGGAAUAUUGCACAAUGGGCGCAAGCCUGAUGCAGCCAUGCCGCGUGUAUGAAGAAGGCCUUAGGGUUGUAAAGUACUUUCAGUGGGGAGGCGUUACCGGCAGAAGAAGCACCGGCUAACUCCGUGCCAGCAGCCGCGGUAAUUC
rnacentral:rRNA from 1 species